rnacentral:rRNA from 1 species
CACGCCCUAAACGAUGUUCUCUUGCUUUUCGGAGUAUCGACCCUCUGAGAGGCGACGCUAACGCUAUAAGAGAACCGCCUGGGAAGUACGGCCGCAAGGCUAAAACUCAAAGGAAUAGACGGGGACUUGCACAAGCGGUGGAUUAUGUGGUUUAAUUCGAUGAUAAACGAAGAACCUUACCAAGGUUAGAAAUCCAGGUGAAGACUCGGCGGAAACGUGAGUCGUCCGCAAGGACAGUUGGACAGGUGC